rnacentral:rRNA from 1 species
UGGGGAAUAUUGCACAAUGGGCGAAAGCCUGAUGCAGCGACGCCGCGUGAGCGAUGAAGCCCUUCGGGGUGUAAAGCUCUUUCGGCUGGAACGAUAAUGACGGUACCAGCAGAAGAAGCUGCGGCUAACUACGUGCCAGCAGCCGCGGUAAUACGUAGGCAGCGAGCGUUGUUCGGAGUUACUGGGCGUAAAGAGUGCGUAGGCGGUGCGGCAAGUCUGGUGUGAAAUCUCCCGGCUUAACUGGGAGGGUGCGCUAGAAACUGCCGUGCUAGAGUGUGGGAGAGGUAAGCGGAAUUCCUGGUGUAGCGGUGAAAUGCGUAGAUAUCAGGAGGAACACCUGCGGUGUAGACAGCUUACUGGACCAUAACUGACGCUGAGGCACGAAAAAGCGUGGGUAGCAAAACA